rnacentral:rRNA from 1 species
UACGUAGGGUGCAAGCGUUGUCCGGAAUUAUUGGGCGUAAAGAGCUCGUAGGCGGUUUGUUACGUCGGCUGUGAAAACCUGGGGCUCAACCCCGGGCCUGCAGCCGAUACGGGCAGACUAGAAUUCGGUAGGGGAGACUGGAAUUCCUGGUGUAGCGGUGGAAUGCGCAGAUAUCAGGAGGAACACCGGUGGCGAAGGCGGGUCUCUGGGCCGAUACUGACGCUGAGGAGCGAAAGCGUGGGGAGCGAACAGG